UCCUUCACUUGGAUGCUGGUCAUGAAAUGAAGCCACCCUUGCUUCACCCCAAGACCCAUGCUGCUGCCUUUUUGUUCCUGUGCCGAACCACUGCUGGUAGCUGGGAUUUGCGGAGCUUGUGAGGGGGAUCUGUCGCGCCCCCGUCGUCAUCACCUGGCCGGGCAAAGGUCGGCACCGUGGCAGUUGGUGCCCAGCAUGUGAGGCUCCCUUCCUCGUCUUCAAAAACAAAUGGGCAGGAUUGGUGGGGGCGCCCGCCUCACGGAAAAGGAGGAAGGGAACAAAGACAUCGAUGACAGCUUCAAGCUCCGCCUUGUGACUCAAAGAAGUCCCCGGACUAUCAGUGAACAUCGCAUUUGAUCGGCACACCUGGUGAGGAGAGGGACUGGUGCAGGAAGAUCCUCAGGGACCAUACCCCUAUUGUACCUUAAACCCGUGAGUCAGCCGAGGAUCACCUGCCAGAGGAUGACCUGACACCCGUGCUUGGAGGCAGCCACCGGUUUUACCGUAACGUUCCCCGUAAGAUUCGCACCUGUCGCGCCCCCGUUGUCGUCGUCGCCUGGCUGGGCCACGGUCAGCGCCGCGGCAAGGAUCCUUAUUCUGCUCCAGGUGCCCAGGGCUGAAAUUUGGAUUCCAUCUCCAAAAUUCUAUGAGGGCAAGGCAAAACCAUUCUCCUCAUCACCACAACUCACAGGAACUGAAAGCUGGGGACUAAGAAGAGGGUUUUAAAGAAGUGACAUGGAUGG